ensembl:snRNA U6 U6 spliceosomal RNA
AUGCUCACUUCAGCAUCACAUUUACUAAAAUUGGAACGAUACAGAGAAGAUUAAUGUGGCCCCUACACAAGGAUGACAUGCAAAUUUGUGAAGUGUUCCAUAUUUUU